GUCUCUUUGGGGACAUCCGAUAAAAUUGAAACGAUACAGAAAAGAUUAGCAUGGCACCUGCGCAAGGAUGACACGCACAAAUCGAGAAAUGGUUCAAUUUAUU
rnacentral:snRNA from 2 species